GUUUUCCUUCGGUCGCCGUGGGUGUGCCGGACGCCUCUGGCAGGACUAACCCUGUGGCUUUUAUGUCCAACGUGCUGUGCUGUGUGUGCCUGCAGGUGGUUGGUGUUUCUGCAGUGUUUGGCACAGGACUGGGGGAGAUUUUUACCCAGCUUUCUAAAGCUGUAGAUGAGUAGGAGAGACUGAAUGCACUCCCUUUAUUCACCUUUUCAGAGAGUAUCGGCCAGAAUACGAGCGCCUGAGAAAAACACUGG